rnacentral:rRNA from 1 species
AACGAACGCUGGCGGCAUGCCUAACACAUGCAAGUCGAACGAGACCUUCGGGUCUAGUGGCGCACGGGUGCGUAACGCGUGGGAACCGGCCCUUAGGUUCGGAAUAACUCCCCGAAAGGGGUGCUAAUACCGGAUAAUGUCUUCGGACCAAAGAUUUAUCGCCUUUGGAUGGGCCCGCGUUGGAUUAGCUAGUUGGUAGGGUAAAAGCCUACCAAGGCGACGAUCCAUAGCUGGUCUGAGAGGAUGAUCAGCCACACUGGGACUGAGACACGGCCCAGACUCCUGCGGGAGGCAGCAGUGGGGAAUAUUGGACAAUGGGCGAAAGCCUGAUCCAGCAAUGCCGCGUGAGUGAUGAAGGCCUUAGGGUUGUAAAGCUCUUUUACCCGGGAUGAUAAUGACAGUACCGGGAGAAUAAGCUCCGGCUAACUCCGC